GACGAACGCUGGCGGCGUGCUUAACACAUGCAAGUCGAACGGAAAGGCCCUGCUUUUGUGGGGUGCUCGAGUGGCGAACGGGUGAGUAACACGUGAGUAACCUGCCCUUGACUUUGGGAUAACUUCAGGAAACUGAGGCUAAUACCGGAUAGGAGCUCCUGCUGCAUGGUGGGGGUUGGAAAGUUUCGGCGGUUGGGGAUGGACUCGCGGCUUAUCAGCUUGUUGGUGGGGUAGUGGCUUACCAAGGCUUUGACGGGUAGCCGGCCUGAGAGGGUGACCGGCGACAUUGGGACUAGGAUACGGCCCAGACUACUACGGGAGGCAACAGUGGGGAAUAUUGCACAAUGGGCGGACGCCUGAUGCAGCAACGCCGCGUGCGGGAUGACGGCCUUCGGGUUGUAAACCGCUUUCGCCUGUGACGAAGCGGGAGUGACGGUAAUGGGUAAAGAAGCACCGGCUAACUACGUG
rnacentral:rRNA from 1 species